UUGAACGCUGGCGGUAUGCUUUACACAUGCAAGUCGAACGGAUUAAAGAGCUUGCUCUUUAGUUAGUGGCGAACGGGUGAGUAAUAUAUCGGAACAUAUCCGGAAGUGGGGGAUAACGUAGCGAAAGUUACGCUAAUACCGCAUAUGCCCUGAGGGGGAAAGGGGGGGAUCGCAAGACCUCUCGCUUUCGGAGUGGCCGAUAUCGGAUUAGCUAGUAGGUGAGGUAAAGGCUCACCUAGGCGACGAUCCGUAGCUGGUCUGAGAGGACGACCAGCCACACUGGAACUGAGACACGGUCCAGACUCCUACGGGAGGCAGCAGUGGGGAAUUUUGGACAAUGGGCGAAAGCCUGAUCCAGCCAUACCGCGUGAGUGAAGAAGGCCUUCGGGUUGUAAAGCUCUUUCAGCCGGAAAGAAAUCGCAUUCCUUAAUACGGGAUGUGGAUGACGGUACCGGAAGAAGAAGCACCGGCUAACUACGU
rnacentral:rRNA from 1 species